CCCCGCGCCCCGCGCCUGCGCAGUCGUACUGGCUCCUUCGUCGGGAGAACGGAACCACCGCCUUCGGCCGCACGCAGGCGCAGUCACUCAGGCCCGUCCUGGCAAAGGCCCUGGCUUGGGGACCAGCGCCCCGCGCAGGCGCACUCCACGGGCCCGCCUUCGUGCGCGCCGACGCUGCGUGAGAACUACUUGGUCAUCUGCUCCCGUGACAACUGGAGGCCGCGGUGACGUCAUUUCGCCCAGAGGAGGCUGAGGUUGAGAUGGGGUGACGUCAGCGUCGCCCCCGCGGGCCGCCCGGGGCUGCAGGUGGGGGCGCUGCGGUCCCGGGAGAGCAGAAUAACACCCAGUGCUCAUCCCGUCAAGCUGCAAAGGGGGCACCCGGGGGCUCGGGUGGCUCAGCCUCUGCCUUGGGCCCAGGUCGUGACCCUCGGGCCCUGGGAUGAGCCCCCCACGUCGGCUCCUAGCCCCAUCUUCCGCUCUCUCUGUCUCAAAUAAAUAAAAUAUUAAAAAAAAAAAAAAAGCAGAUGUUUCCACUUUCACUACUUGUACUCAACAUUUUUUAGGGAAUCCCGGCCAGCACAGUAGUAGGCUAGUGAAGCAGUAACUAAAAGGAAUAACUGUCAGAACAAAAUUGUGUGCCUUCACAGCUGAGCAGGUUGUUUGCACAAAACAGCCUAAGGAAUCACGGAACGAUUAGAAUACAUAGGUGCAUUUAGCAAGAUUGUAGGAUAAAGAUCGACAUAGGAAAAUAAGUGUAUUUCUUUAGAGGCGCCUGGUGGCUCAGCCUGUUGAACAUCUGACUCUCGGUGUCAGCUCAGGUCCUGAUCUCAGGGUCACGGGAUCAAGCCCUGUG